rnacentral:rRNA from 1 species
UCGAGGGGCAGCGGGGCGGCAGGCUUGCCUGCCGCCGCCGGCGACCGGCCCAUUGGUGAGUAACACGUAUGCAACCUGCCCGUGGCAGGGGGAUAAGCGGGGGAAACCCCGUCUAAUACCGCGUAACGCGGCCUAGGGACAUCCCAAGGCCGCCAAAGGGAGCAAUCCCGGCCACGGAUGGGCAUGCGGCGCAUUAGCUAGUCGGCGGGGUAACGGCCCACCGAGGCGACGAUGCGUAGGGGUUCUGAGAGGAAGGCCCCCCACACUGGUACUGAGACACGGACCAGACUCCUACGGGAGGCAGCAGUGAGGAAUAUUGGUCAAUGGGCGCGAGCCUGAACCAGCCAAGUCGCGUGAGGGAGGACGGCCCUACGGGUUGUAAACCUCUUUUGCCGGGGAGCAACGGGCGCCACGUGUGGCGCCACUGAGAGUACCCGGAGAAAAAGCAUCGGCUAACUCCGUGCCAGCAGCCGCGGUAAUACGGAGGAUGCGAGCGUUAUCCGGAUUUAUUGGGUUUAAAGGGUGCGUAGGCGGAUCGUUAAGUCAGUGGUCAAAUUGAGGGGCUCAACCCCUUCCCGCCAUUGAAACUGGCGAUCUUGAGUGGAAGAGAAGUAUGCGGAAUGCGUGGUGUAGCGGUGAAAUGCAUAGAUAUCACGCAGAACCCCGAUUGCGAAGGCAGCAUGCCGGCUUCCUACUGACGCUGAAGCACGAAAGCGUGGGGAUCGAACAGGAUUAGAUACCCUGGUAGUCCACGCGGUAAACGAUGAGCGCUAGGUGUCCGGGGGGAAUGGCCCCUGGGUGCCACAGCG